UAUUGGUCAAUGGGCGCGAGCCUGAACCAGCCAAGUCGCGUGAGGGAGGACGGCCCUACGGGUUGUAAACCUCUUUUGCCGGGGAGCAACGGGCGCCACGUGUGGCGCCACUGAGAGUACCCGGUGAAAAAGCAUCGGCUAAAUCCGUGACAGCAGCCGCGGUAAUACGGAGGAUGCGAGCGUUAUCCGGAUUUAUUGGGUUUAAAGGGUGCGUAGGCGGCAGAUUAAGUUAGAGGUGAAAUUCCGAGGCUCAACCUUGGCACUGCCUCUGAUACUGGUUUGCUAGCGAGUAGAUGCUGUAGGCGGAAUGUGUGGUGUAGCGGUGAAAUGCAUAGAGAUCACACAGAACACCGAUUGCGAAGGCAGCUUACAAAUCUAUAUCGGACGCUGAGGCACGAAAGCGUGGGGAGCAAACAGGA
rnacentral:rRNA from 1 species